GUACUCUUUUAGGCUUGAUGCAUUGCUUUUAGAGGCUAACACAGAGGUUAAAGUAAGUCUCCAUAAAACCCAGAGUAGGUUGUAAAAUUCCUGUGAGCCUGUCUGGAGUCACAGUG